rnacentral:rRNA from 1 species
GGAAGAUUAAUACCGCNUAAGAUUGUAGUAUCGCAUGAUAUAGCAAUUAAAGGAGCAAUUCGCUAUAAGAUGGACCCGCGUCGCAUUAGCUAGUUGGUGAGGUAAUGGCUCACCAAGGCGACGAUGCGUAGCCGACCUGAGAGGGUGAUCGGCCACAUUGGGACUGAGACACGGCCCAGACUCCUACGGGAGGCAGCAUG